GAUGAACGCUGGCGGCGUGCCUAAUACAUGCAAGUCGAGCGAACGGACGAGAAGCUUGCUUCUCUGAUGUUAGCGGCGGACGGGUGAGUAACACGUGGAUAACCUACCUAUAAGACUGGGAUAACUUCGGGAAACCGGAGCUAAUACCGGAUAAUAUUUUGAACCGCAUGGUUCAAAAGUGAAAGACGGUCUUGCUGUCACUUAUAGAUGGAUCCGCGCUGCAUUAGCUAGUUGGUAAGGUAACGGCUUACCAAGGCAACGAUGCAUAGCCGACCUGAGAGGGUGAUCGGCCACACUGGAACUGAGACACGGUCCAGACUCCUACGGGAGGCAGCAGUAGGGAAUCUUCCGCAAUGGGCGAAAGCCUGACGGAGCAACGCCGCGUGAGUGAUGAAGGUCUUCGGAUCGUAAAACUCUGUUAUUAGGGAAGAACAUAUGUGUAAGUAACUGUGCACAUCUUGACGGUACCUAAUCAGAAAGCCACGGCUAACUACGUGCCAGCAGCCGCGGUAAUACGUAGGUGGCAAGCGUUAUCCGGAAUUAUUGGGCGUAAAGCGCGCGUAGGCGGUUUUUUAAGUCUGAUGUGAAAGCCCACGGCUCAACCGUGGAGGGUCAUUGGAAACUGGAAAACUUGAGUGCAGAAGAGGAAAGUGGAAUUCCAUGUGUAGCGGUGAAAUGCGCAGAGAUAUGGAGGAACACCAGUGGCGAAGGCGACUUUCUGGUCUGUAACCGACGCUGAUGUGCGAAAGCGUGGGGAUCAAACAGGAUUAGAUACCCUGGUAGUCCACGCCGUAAACGAUGAGUGCUAAGUGUUAGGGGGUUUCCGCCCCUUAGUGCUGCAGCUAACGCAUUAAGCACUCCGCCUGGGGAGUACGACCGCAAGGUUGAAACUCAAAGGAAUUGACGGGGACCCGCACAAGCGGUGGAGCAUGUGGUUUAAUUCGAAGCAACGCGAAGAACCUUACCAAAUCUUGACAUCCUUUGACAACUCUAGAGAUAGAGCUUUCCCCUUCGGGGGACAAAGUGACAGGUGGUGCAUGGUUGUCGUCAGCUCGUGUCGUGAGAUGUUGGGUUAAGUCCCGCAACGAGCGCAACCCUUAAGCUUAGUUGCCAUCAUUAAGUUGGGCACUCUAAGUUGACUGCCGGUGACAAACCGGAGGAAGGUGGGGAUGACGUCAAAUCAUCAUGCCCCUUAUGAUUUGGGCUACACACGUGCUACAAUGGACAAUACAAAGGGCAGCGAAACCGUGAGGUCAAGCAAAUCCCAUAAAGUUGUUCUCAGUUCGGAUUGUAGUCUGCAACUCGACUACAUGAAGCUGGAAUCGCUAGUAAUCGUAGAUCAGCAUGCUACGGUGAAUACGUUCCCGGGUCU
rnacentral:rRNA from 1 species